UGGGGAAUAUUGGGCAAUGGAGGCAACUCUGACCCAGCAACGCCGCGUGAAUGAUGAAGGUCUUCGGAUUGUAAAGUUCUGUGACGGGGGACGAACACAAUGACGGUACCCCGAUAGCAAGCCACGGCUAACUACGUGCCAGCAGCCGCGGUAAUACGUAGGUGGCAAGCGUUAUCCGGAAUGACUGGGCGUAAAGGGUGCGUAGGUGGUUUGGCAAGUUGGCGGCGUAAUUCCGGGGCUCAACUCCGGCGCUACCGCCAAAACUGUUGAACUCGAGUGCAGGAGGGGUAAGUGGAAUUCCUAGUGUAGCGGUGGAAUGCGUAGAUAUUAGGAGGAACAUCGGUGGCGAAGGCGACUUACUGGACUGUAACUGACACUGAGGCACGAAAGCGUGGGGAGCAAACA
rnacentral:rRNA from 1 species